rnacentral:rRNA from 1 species
AUACGGAGGGUGCAAGCGUUACUCGGAAUCACUGGGCGUAAAGGACGCGUAGGCGGAUUGGAAAGUCAGAUGUGAAAUCCUACAGCUUAACUGUAGAACUGCAUUUGAAACUUCUAAUCUAGAGUAUGGGAGGGGGAGAUGGAAUUAGUGGUGUAGGGGUAAAAUCCGUAGAUAUCACUAGGAAUAUCGAAAGCGAAGGCGAUCUCCUGGAACAUAACUGACGCUAAGGCGUGAAAGCGUGGGGAGCAAACGGGAUUAGAAACCCUUGUAGUCC